rnacentral:rRNA from 1 species
AGUGGGGGAUAGCUCGGCGAAAGCCGGAUUAAUACCGCAUAUGCCCUGAGGGGGAAAGCGGGGGAUCGUAAGACCUCGCGCUUUCGGAGUGGCCGAUAUCGGAUUAGCUAGUUGGUGGGGUAAAGGCUUACCAAGGCGACGAUCCGUAGCUGGUUUGAGAGAACGACCAGCCACACUGGAACUGAGACACGGUCCAGACUCCUACGGGAGGCAGCAGUGGGGAAUUUUGGACAAUGGGGGCAACCCUGAUCCAGCCAUGCCGCGUGAGUGAAGAAGGCCUUCGGGUUGUAAAGCUCUUUCAGACGGAAAGAAACGGUUACGGUGAAUAUCCGUGACUAAUGACGGUACCGUCAGAAGAAGCACCGGCUAACUACGUGCCAGCAGCCGCGGUAAUACGUAGGGUGCGAGCGUUAAUCGGAAUUACUGGGCGUAAAGCGUGCGCAGGCGGUUUUGUAAGACAGACGUGAAAUCCCCGGGCUUAACCUGGGAACUGCGUUUGUGACUGCAAGACUAGAGUGCGGCAGAGGGGGGUAGAAUUCCA